rnacentral:lncRNA from 1 species
GUGCCAAAAGUAUGGAGAGAAGAUGUCAGGAACGUGUGAGAACUCCCCCAGACGGUCUUUUGGAGUCACCCUGCCCUCCCAGACAAUUUUGGUGCUGGCUGCCUCCAGGAACCUGACUCUCUCAGUCUCUUACUGUUUCGCUCCGUGGGUCAAGUCUCUGCAAAGCCUUCACGCUGAGCCUUGCCUUGCAGGCAGCCUUUGUGACGCAGUCAUCGUGGCUCAGCUAACUGCAGCAGGAAGAGGCAGAUAUGGAGCUAAAAGCACAGCAGCCGGGAUUCCAGGAAAGCGGGAAGUUCUGCAGUUAGCAUCAGGAACACAGUGAGAAGGCAAUCAUCUGUAAAGCAGGAAAAGAGCCUUCCCCAGGAGCUGAAUCUGCCAGCAUCUUGAUCUUGGACUUCCCAGCCUCCAGAACUACCAGAGAGAAAUGCCUGUUGUCUGAGCCACCUUAUGAUACCCUGUUACAGCAGCCUGAGCUAAGAUGAUACUGGAGGCCCAGUUAAUCUACCUCAACAUGACCCUUUUGUAACACAGGCUAGACAAAGGCUGUGAAAACACUCAGUAUCUAGAGUUUUCUGAUGUGUGUGUCCUUCCCUAUACACUUCAUUUGCUUAUCCCCUUAUUCAUUCAACAAAGGAGUUCCUUUACUUUUCUUCUCCUUCCUUCUUUCUUUCUUUCUUCCUUCCUUCCUUCCUUUCUUUCUUUCUUCUUUCUUUUUUUUGACAGGGUUUCACCAUGUUGGCCAGGCUGAGCUUGAACU